rnacentral:rRNA from 1 species
UACGUAGUGUGCAAGCGUUGUCCGGAAUUAUUGGGCGUAAAGAGCUCGUAGGCGGUUUGUCGCGUCUGCUGUGAAAAUCCAGGGCUUAACCCUGGACCUGCAGUGGGUACGGGCAGACUAGAGUGCGGUAGGGGAGAUCGGAAUUCCUGGUGUAGCGGUGAAAUGCGCAGAUAUCAGGAGGAACACCGGUGGCGAAGGCGGAUCUCUGGGCCGUAACUGACGCUGAGGAGCGAAAGCAUGGGGAGCGAACAGG